rnacentral:rRNA from 1 species
UACGUAGGGACCGAGCGUUGUCCGGAAUCAUUGGGCGUAAAGAGCGUGUAGGCGGCCCCUUAAGUCCUGCGUGAAAUCCUGCGGCUCAACCGCAGACGGUCGUGGGAAACUGGAGGGCUAGAGUGCGGGAGAGGAGAGUGGAAUUCCCGGUGUAGCGGUGAAAUGCGCAGAUAUCGGGAAGAACGCCAGUGGCGAAGGCGGCUCUCUGGAACGCAACUGACGCUGAGACGCGAAAGCGUGGGGAGCAAACAGG